rnacentral:siRNA from 1 species
UUGGAUGUUGCUCUUGAUGCU